GAUGAACGCUAGCGGCAGGCCUAAUACAUGCAAGUCGAGGGGCAGCACGGUAGCAAUACUGGUGGCGACCGGCAAACGGGUGCGGAACACGUACGCAACCUUCCUUUAAGUGGGGGAUAGCCCAUAGAAAUGUGGAUUAAUACCUCGUAAGAUUGUAGAGUGGCAUCACUCAGCAAUUAUAGAAUUUCGCUUAAAGAUGG
rnacentral:rRNA from 1 species